GCAUUUGUGGCCGAGUGGUCUAAGGCGUUCGACUUAAGCUCGAAUCUCGAAAGAGGCGUGGGUUCGAAACCCACCGGAUGCA